rnacentral:rRNA from 1 species
GUGGGGAAUCUUAGACAAUGGGGGAAACCCUGAUCUAGCCAUGCCGCGUGAGCGAUGAAGGCCUUAGGGUUGUAAAGCUCUUUCAGCUGGGAAGAUAAUGACGGUACCAGCAGAAGAAGCCCCGGCUAACUCCGUGCCAGCAGCCGCGGUAAUACGGAGGGGGCUAGCGUUGUUCGGAAUUACUGGGCGUAAAGCACACGUAGGCGGAUCAGAAAGUCAGAGGUGAAAUCCCAGGGCUCAACCUUGGAACUGGCUUUGAAACUCCGGGUCUUGAGGUCGAGAGAGGUGAGUGGAAUUCCGAGUGUAGAGGUGAAAUUCGUAGAUAUUCGGAGGAACACCAGUGGCGAAGGCGGCUCACUGGCUCGAUACUGACGCUGAGGUGCGAAAGCGUGGGGAGCAAACAGGAUUAGAAACCCCGGUAGUCC